rnacentral:rRNA from 1 species
UCCUACGGGACGCAGCAGUGGGGGAUAUUGCACAAUGGGGGGAACCCUGAUGCAGCGACGCCGCGUGGGCGAUGGAGCGCCUCGGCGCGUAAAGCCCUAUCAGCAGGGAAGAAGAUGACGGUACCUGACUAAGAAGCCCCGGCUAAAUACGUGCCAGCAGCCGCGGUAAUACGUAUGGGGCAAGCGUUAUCCGGAUUUACUGGGUGUAAAGGGGGCGCAGACGGCGAUGCAAGCCAGGAGUGAAAGCCCGGGGCCCAACCCCGGGACUGCUCUUGGAACUGCGUUGCUGGAGUGCAGGAGGUGCG